CUGUGUAUUGGUGUUUGGGGACCAGCAUCUGUUUGGAAGGGAAGCCAAUAGUGGGGAUUCCGUCCAAUAGAUGAGAAUGUUCGUCAACUGGCAGCUUUUUUUGCCUGGCUCAAGCCUCCAGAACUGAUGGCAAUAAAGAUCCGUGAAGAUUUCUGGCCUCAUUUUACCUCUGAGAAAGGAAUCAGAUUGCAUGAACAGGCUUAAAUGUCUCAGCAGACUCAAAAUGGGCCAUAAAAAUGAUGUUGGAUGUCAGAA